GUGAGGAAUAUUGGUCAAUGGGCGAGAGCCUGAACCAGCCAAGUCGCGUGAAGGAUGAAGGUUUUAUGAAUUGUAAACUUCUUUUGCAGGGGAAUAAAGUACGGUACGUGUACCGUUUUGUAUGUACUCUGCGAAUAAGGAUCGGCUAACUCCGUGCCAGCAGCCGCGGUAAUACGGAGGAUCCGAGCGUUAUCCGGAUUUAUUGGGUUUAAAGGGUGCGUAGGUGGUUUGAUAAGUCAGCGGUGAAAGUUUGCAGCUUAACUGUAAAAAUGCCGUUGAAACUGUCGGACUUGAGUGUAAAUGAGGUAGGCGGAAUGCGUGGUGUAGCGGUGAAAUGCAUAGAUAUCACGCAGAACUCCGAUUGCGAAGGCAGCUUACUAAGCUACAACUGACACUGAAGCACGAAAGCGUGGGGAUCAAACAGGAUUAGAAACCCCAGUAGUCC
rnacentral:rRNA from 1 species